rnacentral:rRNA from 1 species
UCGUACCUACGGGGCGCAGCAGUGGGGAAUAUUGCACAAUGGAGGAAACCCUGAUGCAGCAACGCCGCGUGAAGGAAGACGGUUUUCGGAUUGUAAACUUCUGUUCUUAGUGAAGAAAAAUGGCGGUAGCUAAGGAGCAAGCCACGGCUAACUACGUGCCAGCAGCCGCGGUAAUACGUAGGUGGCAAGCGUUGUCCGGAAUUACUGGGUGUAAAGGGAGCGCAGGCGGGAAGCCAAGUCAGCUGUGAAAACUACGGGCUUAACUUGUGGACUGCAGUUGAGACUGGGUUUCUUGAGUGAAGUAG